CUACCUAUUCCACCUCUCUCAGUCACUUAGAAACCACACAGACUCAGCCUAGAUGGAAGCACAGGGAGAAAAAGGGUUUCUAGGUGACUAGCGAAAUCAGCCUCUACAUUUCUAGUACACCUAUCGUGGUUAAAUCUAGGUACUGCUGGAAAUAGAAAUACGAUGAGCGGUUUCAUGCUAAACUGAGGAAGGAUGCUGUGCAGGUGGAUAACCAGGGCAGCCAGCAAGGAGCACGAGAGGAACGAGGCGGUCUCUAAUGAUCUCUUCAGUAUCUGGUAGACUUCAGCAUCUGCUUUUCUUCACACUGUUAUCUUCGCUGCUGCUGUCCAGUUGCAUGAAAACCUGCUCUGUUUCAAACUGUAGGAGAUGGAGAAGCUUUCUCUGUUCUGGAAGAAGCAGAAGAUGACCUGAGUUUCUCCUGAAAAUUGCCUUUGUUUUUCCAGUAAUUGCUUGACCAAGUUUUAGAGAGGUUAAGAAGGCAUGUGUCAGACUUGCAAGUUGAAGAUGUUAACUUCUCCAAGCUUUGCCAUUAUUCCUAAAACAUCAUCAAAGAGGAAAAUGGAUACUAUCGUCAUACUAGGAAGAGUAUAAGAAAAUCUCAGUGAGAUCAGGCUGCUGGGAAAAGCUUGAAAGAAAAACAGGAGCACUCUGAAACAGAAAGAAAUUAAGUAAUCCUGAAUCUUUGGAAAUGACAGUAAAAGAAAGCCAGAAUUCCUCAGCAAGAGCAGGGGGAAGGGCUUUUAAAUAGAGCCUAUAACAAAGACAACUGCAGAGGGGAUUGCAAAAGCUCUGAAAAAUGAAGCAACCCUGCUCAAUAGAAAACAGGAGUGAGCAGCAGCACGCCAGAGGCCCAAAGGCUGCUGGUGCUUCACAACAAGCUGCAGCAGAGGAGCUCCCUGCCACAUAGCUGCCCUGCUAGAGGAGUGCAAACCCUCCUGGGUGUGUUCACCUGUGCAAAGGAGCCACAGGACUUACCAGAUAAAUGCCCAAAUGUGUGUGGUAGGAAGUGGGACAAUGCAAUUGUUGUCAUCUGUGUGUCCCUUUAUUAAUGUGAGGAAAGGAGAGGGUUUGCAAAGAAAAGGAUAUGCUUGAUUUCUGCUUGAUGAGAGGCAGAGUCUGUGUCUAGCACCACUUACAAAGAUUGCCUGUUGCAACAGAAAAACAAGCAGAAGAAAGGAUGUUUUUUAACAAGAGUUGUUCAGUGCUGUUUAUGUGAUUGUGAAAGAAAAUGUUUUAUCCAGCUAUCCCAGGGAACAAUUUCUUCUAUGUUGUUGACCACUAGUGAAAAGAUCAUGUAAACCAGCAGCACUGUUUAUACGACCAGCAGAAGAGACAACAUUUCCAGUAACGCUAUGAGGUUAAAAAAAAAAAGGGAAAGAAAUGAGAAAGUCAGAUUUCCAGUGUAAUAAUAAUUGCAGUGCAAUGGAAAUGGUCACAGCAGAACACCUUUAUGAAGAGAAGGUAAUAAUAAACUGUAGAAGAGGCUGAGGUUAUAGGCUGCAUCCAGCACACAUGACAAGAA